rnacentral:rRNA from 1 species
UAGGGAAUCUUCGGCAAUGGGGGGAACCCUGACCGAGCAACGCCGCGUGAGUGAAGAAGGUUUUCGGAUCGUAAAGCUCUGUUGUUAAGGAAGAACGAGUGUGAGAAUGGAAAGUUCAUACUGUGACGGUACUUAACCAGAAAGGGACGGCUAACUACGUGCCAGCAGCCGCGGUAAUACGUAGGUCCCGAGCGUUGUCCGGAUUUAUUGGGCGUAAAGCGAGCGCAGGCGGUUAGAUAAGUCUGAAGUUAAAGGCAGUGGCUCAACCAUUGUAGGCUUUGGAAACUGUUUAACUGGAGUGCAGAAGGGGAGAGUGGAAUUCCAUGUGUAGCGGUGAAAUGCGUAGAUAUAUGGAGGAACACCGGUGGCGAAAGCGGCUCUCUGGUCUGUAACUGACGCUGAGGCUCGAAAGCGUGGGUAGCAAACAGG